rnacentral:rRNA from 1 species
AGAGUUUGAUCCUGGCUCAGGACGAACGCUGGCGGCGUGCUUAACACAUGCAAGUCGAACGAGACGAUUGAAAGCUUGCUUUUGAAAGUCGAGUGGCAAACGGGUGAGUAACGCGUAGACAACCUGCCGUAAAGAUGGGGACAACAGUCCGAAAGGACUGCUAAUACCGAAUGUUGUAAAUCUUCUGCAUGGGAGACUUACUAAAGGUGGCCUCUACUUGUAAGCUAUCGCUUUACGAUGGGUCUGCGUCUGAUUAGCUGGUUGGUGGGGUAACGGCCUACCAAGGCAACGAUCAGUAGCCGGUCUGAGAGGAUGAACGGCCACAUUGGAACUGAGACACGGUCCAGACUCCUACGGGAGGCAGCAGUGGGGAAUCUUCCGCAAUGGGCGCAAGCCUGACGGAGCAACGCCGCGUGAGUGAAGAAGGUUUUCGACUCGUAAAGCUCUGUUGUCGGGGACGAACGUGGAGACGGCGAAUAGCCGUUUCCAAUGACGGUACCUGACGAGGAAGCCACGGCUAACUACGUGCCAGCAGCCGCGGUAAUACGUAGGUGGCGAGCGUUGCCCGGAAUUAUUGGGCGUAAAGGGAGCGCAGGCGGGAAGGUAAGUCUAUCUUAAAAGUGCGGGGCUCAACCCCGUGAGGGGAUGGAAACUAUCUUUCUUGAGUGCAGGAGAGGAAAGCGGAAUUCCUAGUGUAGCGGUGAAAUGCGUAGAUAUUAGGAGGAACACCAGUGGCGAAGGCGGCUUUCUGGACUGUAACUGACGCUGAGGCUCGAAAGUGUGGGUAGCAAACAGGAUUAGAUACCCUGGUAGUCCACACUGUAAACGAUGAUUACUAGGUGUUGGAGGAUUGACCCCUUCAGUGCCGCAGUUAACACAAUAAGUAAUCCACCUGGGGAGUACGACCGCAAGGUUGAAACUCAAAGGAAUUGACGGGGGCCCGCACAGGCAGUGGAGUAUGUGGUUUAAUUCGACGCAACGCGAAGAACCUUACCAAGUCUUGACAUCCCUUGACGAUGCUGGAAACAGUAUUUCUCUUCGGAGCAAGGAGACAGGUGGUGCAUGGUUGUCGUCAGCUUGUGUCGUGAGAUGUUGGGUUAAGUCCCGCAACGAGCGCAACCCUUAUGGUCAGUUACUACGCAAGAGGACUCUGGCCAGACUGCCGUUGACAAAACGGAGGAAGGUGGGGAUGACGUCAAAUCAUCAUGCCCUUUAUGACUUGGGCUACACACGUACUACAAUGGCGUUAAACAAAGAGAAGCAAGACCGCGAGGUGGAGCAAAACUCAGAAACAACGUCCCAGUUCGGACUGCAGGCUGCAACUCGCCUGCACGAAGUCGGAAUUGCUAGUAAUCGCAGAUCAGCAUGCUGCGGUGAAUACGUUCCCGGGCCUUGUACACACCGCCCGUCACACCAUGAGAGCCGGGGGGACCCGAAGUCGGUAGUCUAACCGCAAGGAGGACGCCGCCGAAGGUAAAACUGGUGAUUGGGGUGAAGUCGUAACAAGGUA